GGGAGGAUUUCCGCUUGCUUACUAUUACAAGUCGAGCGGUAAGGCCCUUCGGGGUACACGAGCGGCGAACGGGUGAGUAACACGUGAGCAACCUGCCCCUGACUCCGGGAUAAGCGGUGGAAACGCCGUCUAAUACCGGAUACGACCGGCCGCCUCAUGGUGGCCGGUGGAAAGUUUUUCGGUUGGGGAUGGGCUCGCGGCCUAUCAGCUUGUUGGUGGGGUAAAGGCCUACCAAGGCGAUUACGGGUAGCCGGCCUGAGAGGGCGACCGGCCACACUGGGACUGAGACACGGCCCAGACUCCUGCGGGAGGCAGCAGUGGGGAAUAUUGCGCAAUGGGCGAAAGCCUGACGCAGCGACGCCGCGUGGGGGAUGACGGCCUUCGGGUUGUAAACCUCUUUUACCACCAACGCAGGCUCCCAGUUCUCUGGGGGUUGACGGUAGGUGGGGAAUAAGGACCGGCUAACUACGUGCCAGCAGCCGCGGUAAUACGUAGGGUCCGAGCGUUGUCCGGAAUUAUUGGGCGUAAAGAGCUCGUAGGCGGCGUGUCGCGUCUGCUGUGAAAGACCGGGGCUUAACUCCGGUUCUGCAGUGGAUACGGGCAUGCUAGAGGUAGGUAGGGGAGACUGGAAUUCCUGGUGUAGCGGUGAAAUGCGCAGAUAUCAGGAGGAACACCGGUGGCGAAGGCGGGUCUCUGGGCCUUACCUGACGCUGAGGAGCGAAAGCAUGGGGAGCGAACAGGAUUAGAUACCCUGGUAGUCCAUGCCGUAAACGUUGGGCGCUAGGUGUGGGGACUUUCCACGGUUUCCGCGCCGUAGCUAACGCAUUAAGCGCCCCGCCUGGGGAGUACGGCCGCAAGGCUAAAACUCAAAGGAAUUGACGGGGGCCCGCACAAGCGGCGGAGCAUGUUGCUUAAUUCGACGCAACGCGAAGAACCUUACCAAGGUUUGACAUCACCCGUGGACCUGCAGAGAUGUGGGGUCAUUUAGUUGGUGGGUGAC
rnacentral:rRNA from 1 species